GUUGUAUAGUUAAGUGACUAAGCGUACAAGGUGGAUGCCUUGGCAAUCAGAGGCGAAGAAGGACGUGCUAAUCUGCGAAAAGCUUGGAUGAGUUGAUAAGAAGCAUUUAAUCCAAGAUAUCCGAAUGGGGAAACCCGAUGGAUGAAGAAUCCAUCAUUUCAUUAUGAAUCCAUAGUAAUGAAAGGCAAACCGGGAGAACUGAAACAUCUAAGUACCCCGAGGAAAAGAAAUCAACCGAGAUUCCGUGAGUAGCGGCGAGCGAAAGCGGAGGAGCCAUCAAAUGUUAUCUCAUCGAUAAGGAGAAUCAACUGGGAAGUUGAACCAUAGGGGGUGAUAGUCCCGUAUCUAAAAAUGGAUGGGAAGAACUAAGUUUGAGAGAAGUAGGGCGGGACACGUGAUAUCCUGUCUGAAGAUGGGGGGACCAUCCUCCAAGGCUAAAUACUCCUGAUUGACCGAUAGUGAACCAGUACUGUGAAGGAAAGGCGAAAAGAACCCCGGUGAGGGGAGUGAAAUAGAACCUGAAACCUUGUACGUACAAGCAGUGGGAGCCCUUAUGGGUGACUGCGUACCUUUUGUAUAAUGGGUCAGCGACUUAUAUUUUGUAGCGAGGUUAACCGAAUAGGGGAGCCGAAGGGAAACCGAGUCUUAACUGGGCGGUAAGUUGCAAGGUAUAGACCCGAAACCCGGUGAUCUAGCCAUGGGCAGGUUGAAGGUUGGGUAACACUAACUGGAGGACCGAACCGACUAAUGUUGAAAAAUUAGCGGAUGACUUGUGGCUGGGGGUGAAAGGCCAAUCAAACCGGGAGAUAGCUGGUUCUCCCCGAAAUCUAUUUAGGUAGAGCCUUGAGCGGACACCUUUGGGGGUAGAGCACUGUUUCGGCUAGGGGGCCAUCCCGGCUUACCAACCCGAUGCAAACUACGAAUACCAAAGAGUGAUACUCAGGAGACACACGGCGGGUGCUAACGUCCGUCGUGGAGAGGGAAACAACCCAGACCGCCAGCUAAGGUCCCCAAGUCUAUAUUAAGUGGGAAACGAAGUGGGAAGGCUUAGACAGCUAGGAUGUUGGCUUAGAAGCAGCCACCAUUUAAAGAAAGCGUAAUAGCUCACUAGUCGAGUCGGCCUGCGCGGAAGAUGUAACGGGGCUGAAAUAUAGCACCGAAGCUGCGGCAUCAGAAUUUAUUCUGUUGGGUAGGGGAGCGUUGUGUAAGCGGAUGAAGGUGAAUUGAGAGGUUUGCUGGACGUAUCACAAGUGCGAAUGCUGACAUAAGUAACGAUAAAACGGGUGAAAAACCCGUUCGCCGGAAGACCAAGGUUUCCUGUCCAACGUUAAUCGGGGCAGGGUGAGUCGGCCCCUAAGGCGAGGCUGAAAAGCGUAGUCGAUGGGAAACGGGUUAAUAUUCCCGUACUUGGAUAAACUGCGAUGUGGGGACGGAGCAGGUUAGGUUAGCGUGCUGUUGGACAUGCACGUUUAAGUUGGUAGGUGGGGUGCUUAGGCAAAUCCGGGCACCUAUUAAACACUGAGAGAUGAUGACGAGACGCUACGGCGUUGAAGUAACUGAUACCAUACUUCCAGGAAAAGCCACUAAGCGUCAGGUUUAUCUAAACCGUACUGAAAACCGACACAGGUGGUCAGGUAGAGAAUACUCAGGCGCUUGAGAGAACUCGGGUGAAGGAACUAGGCAAAAUAGCACCGUAACUUCGGGAGAAGGUGCGCCGGCGUAGAUUGUAAGGGUUUUCCCCUGAAGGUUGAACCGGUCGAAGAUACCAGCUGGCUGCAACUGUUUAUUAAAAACACAGCACUCUGCAAACACGAAAGUGGACGUAUAGGGUGUGAUGCCUGCCCGGUGCUGGAAGGUUAAUUGAUGGUGUAAUCGAAAGAGAAGCUCCUGAUCGAAGCCCCAGUAAACGGCGGCCGUAACUAUAACGGUCCUAAGGUAGCGAAAUUCCUUGUCGGGUAAGUUCCGACCUGCACGAAUGGCAUAAUGAUGGCCAGGCUGUCUCCACCCGAGACUCAGUGAAAUUGAAAUCGCCGUGAAGAUGCGGUGUACCCGCGGCUAGACGGAAAGACCCCGUGAACCUUUACUAUAGCUUGACACUGAACAUUGAAUUUUGAUGUGUAGGAUAGGUGGGAGACGUUGAAGUAGGAACGCCAGUUUCUAUGGAGUCGACCUUGAAAUACCACCCUUUAACGUUUGAUGUUCUAACGAAGAGUGGAAACACGCUCUCGGACAGUGUCUGGUGGGUAGUUUGACUGGGGCGGUCUCCUCCCAAAGCGUAACGGAGGAGCACGAAGGUUUGCUAAUCACGGUCGGACAUCGUGAGGUUAGUGCAAUGGUAUAAGCAAGCUUAACUGCGAGACGGACAGGUCGAGCAGGUACGAAAGUAGGUCAUAGUGAUCCGGUGGUUCUGAAUGGAAGGGCCAUCGCUCAACGGAUAAAAGGUACUCCGGGGAUAACAGGCUGAUACCGCCCAAGAGUUCAUAUCGACGGCGGUGUUUGGCACCUCGAUGUCGGCUCAUCACAUCCUGGGGCUGAAGUAGGUCCCAAGGGUAUGGCUGUUCGCCAUUUAAAGUGGUACGCGAGCUGGGUUUAGAACGUCGUGAGACAGUUCGGUCCCUAUCUGCCGUGGGCGUAGGAGAAUUGAUUGGGGCUGCUCCUAGUACGAGAGGACCGGAGUGGACGCACCACUGGUGUUCGGGUUGUGUCGCCAGACGCAUUGCCCGGUAGCUAAGUGCGGAAGAGAUAAGUGCUGAAAGCAUCUAAGCACGAAACUUGCCAAGAGAUGAGUUCUCCCAGACAUUAUGUUUGUAAGGGUUGUUUGAGACUAAGACGUAGAUAGGUGGGGUGUGUAAGCGGUGUGAGCCGUUGAGCUAACCCAUACUAAUUGCCCGAGAGGCUUAACUAUACAACGCUCAAG
rnacentral:rRNA from 1 species